rnacentral:lncRNA from 1 species
AUUGAAAUGCCACCACGAAUCAGCCCUCUUAAGGAUGCCAUGCAUCAUGUUGUCACGAAGUCUGACAAAACUAAAUUAGAGGUGAACUACAUCAAUGCGGUGAAAGGUAAGGUGGUGUCUGGUAUGACUGAUUUAUCACUUAAUAAUUACGAAAUAUGGAACCAUAACCUUGUGAGUAUGGAAUAGAAAAUCUAUGUUAAUUAGGAACCAGGUUGCAGAAUAUUUUAAAUAAGCUACUAUUAAUGUGUUCUGUGUGCACAAUUAUCACCCUUUAUCUCUGCAAGAUUUAUUAAUUAAUUUUUUUGGUGAAAAUGUUUUUGCUGUAUCUGCAGGACGUGGAUUAUUUGCAAAAGGUUCCUUUUGCAAAGGAGAUUUUAUUGUGGAGUACAGGGGUGAGUUGAUCAAUUAUGCAGAGCUGGAGAGGAGAAGAAAACUCUACCACCCAUCCUGUGCUGUUUUUAUGUUCGAGUUUAAGUGGAGAGGGAAAACAUGGUGGUAAGAAGUCACAUUGCACCAAAGCUAUAUUCCUUUUGCUAAAAUAAGGCCACAUUUACACUACAGGUCUUCAUGACCAAUUCUGAUUUUGUGAAUGUAUCCUUUUUUUGACAACGUGCUUAGAUUUUUUUUUUUUAAGAGUGACACUUAUCCAGUGUGUGCAUUUUAAACGGCAUUUGGUGACAAUCUAAAAAAAAAAACUGUUACAGUUUCAAUUUCAAUAGUACAUUCAUUGUCUUAUGAAACUAGUUUGACCAGUUAACAGUUGGCUAAGGGGUAAUUAGUCCUGAAUUAGGCCUGAAACUGAUCUGAUAAUAUCUGAAUCCAUGCUCUUCAUUUUCCUUAUUAAACGCUGGUGACUCUUAUCUGAUCUGUGCCACAUGGGAUGAAGAAAACUGGAAUUGGGUCAAUUGAACCAUGCAGUGUAAAUGCAGCCUAAGACACUGAUUUGUGUUGAUGCAUUAUAACACUUGUAUUUAUCCUUUUCCCUUUUUUUUUCUCUCAAAUUUUAGCAUUGAUGCAUCUAGGGAAGAUGGAUCAUUUGGGCGGUUAGUUAACGAUGACCACCAACAUCCAAAUUGUAAGAUGAAGAAAAUCGAUGUGAAUGGAAAGGCACACCUGUGUUUAUUUGCGCUGAAAGACAUUAAAGAAGGAGAAGAAAUCACAUAUGAUUAUGGGGGAGACGACUGCCCAUGGAGAACCCAAGAGAGCAGCAUUGCUGCUAAUAGCAGAGCAGCAGGUGACUCUGAUGCUUCUCUCCAGUCACAGACUCCAGUGGAUGAUGCUUCUCUCCAGUCACAGACUCCAGUGGAUGAUGCUUCUCUCCAGUCACAGACUCCAGUGGAUGAUGCUUCUCUCCAGUCACAGACUCCAGUGGAUGAUGCUUCUCUCCAGUCACAGACUCCAGUGGAUGAUGCUUUUGGUCAAACCAGGUCUCCUCAACAGGUAUGGUCACAUUUAUCAAUGGAAAGUUAUGUCUACUGUCAGUUUUUUCCAUGUUUUUGGUGCAUAUUUUGAUGCUUAUCUGCUGUAAACUAGUUCCCUCAACAGUUUAUCAACAUGUGUCCAGUAGGUUAGAGGUAGUGGAAUAUUUGGGGCCAGUUUUGUCCUUCACAAGUAACUUUUUCUUGGUUAAUUGGUGCUUUAAAAUUUUCACUCACGACGUCCCCACAACACACUUUUGGUCGCUCAGUGUUGGGAGUUGAGAUGUUGUGUGAGAUUAAAUGAAUCUGGUCCCAAUGAGGAACAAUAAACGUUGUGUGUGAAAGGUCCCCAUGAAGCCCAUUUUAUUCAAGAUGUGUGUGUGUGUGAGCGCAGACAGAGGAUGUUGGACAGGGAUAUUUUCCACUCUUGAUCUCUGGUCAACUUUUUUAUUUUCAUAUUUCAAAUGCAAUAGAAAUGUCAAAUAUUGUUUAUACUUUGUUUACAGAUUGCAACCCAGAACCACAGUGAAAAUGAGAUUUUUGUGCCAAAACUGAGACGGACUAAAAGUGUCAUAGUAAGUUUAAGUCACAACAAGAGACGUGGUCUUUUUUUUUUUUUUUUUUUUCAUUCCUAAGAUCAUUCUCCUCAUCAGUAAUUUAUGUAAUAUUAAUAUAUUCUCAUGUGAUAUUGACUGCAAAGUAUCAGAGAAUUAUUCAAUUUUAUUUUACUUUAAGACCAAAAUGAUCAGUUUUUUUUUUUUUUUUUGUCAGAACAACUGUUCAUAACUUUUGCACUGAGAACUUUAUUAUAACAUGGUAAGAAGCAGCAAAUCAUCACAUGUGACUUGCAAAAUUGAGAAAAAAAAAAAAACUCAACAGAUUAACAGAGACACAUUAAAUUGGCUACUAUUGUCAAAAUCAAAUGAUCAAUUAAUUGCAGCAGUUCUACCCAUUUC